GACGAACGCUGGCGGCGUGCUUAACACAUGCCAGUCGAACGGAAAGGCCCUGCUGUUGUGGGGUGCUCGAGUGGCGAACGGGUGAGUAACACGUGAGUAACCUGCCCUUGACUUUGGGAUAACUUCAGGAAACUGGGGCUAAUACCGGAUAGGAGCUCCUGCUGCAUGGUGGGGGUUGGAAAGUUUCGGCGGUUGGGGAUGGACUCGCGGCUUAUCAGCUUGUUGGUGGGGUAGUGGCUUACCAAGGCUUUGACGGGUAGCCGGCCUGAGAGGGUGACCGGCCACAUUGGGACUGAGAUACGGCCCAGACUCCUACGGGAGGCAGCAGUGGGGAAUAGUGCACAAUAGGCGGAAGCCUGAUGCAGCAACGCCGCGUGCGGGAUGACGGCAUUCGGGUUGUAAACCGCUUUCGCCUGUGACGAAGCGUGAGUGACGGUAAUGGGUAAAGAAGCACCGGCUAACUACGUG
rnacentral:rRNA from 1 species